rnacentral:lncRNA from 1 species
GUUACCGUAUAAUUCAUCCCUUUGAUCUAAAUGCUCAAGGUGACCUAGGGUUUAACUAUUAACUUUGAUAUCAUCAUCCAUAUUAUAUUUUAAUUUUUUAAAUCUAUCAUAUGGAUUACUCUGAUCAAGAUUUUACUAAAUUGAAAUACACUGAUACAUUAACUCUUACUUAUUCAGAGAGGUCAAUUUCAUCUUGACUCACACAUCAAUUUUGCAAGUACUUGACUGUGCCC